ensembl:lncRNA HOXB-AS3 HOXB cluster antisense RNA 3
AGACGACAGGUCUGGGAUCAGGGAGUCUUCAAGGCCCCCGCUGAGGGGACAGCGAAUCUACCAUUGAACCGUGCACGGGGGACAUGGACAAAAUGAGACGCGACAGGGACAAGAGCAUUUUGCUCUGCUUCCAGGAAACAUCAAGUUGCUUGUCUGGAGAUGGAGCCACUACAGGCGGGCCUGGGCGCCUGGAGUCGGGCAUGAAAGAAAAUAGCGCCUCAUCGCUCUUAUCUAAGCCCAGAGGUCCAGGGGACAACCUGAGGGCCCUGAAGUGUUUCAAUACCAUGUACCAGCUUGACUUCUCUACAUGUCCUUUGGAUUGCCCAAAAGCAAAAUCUCAGAGGGGCCAAGGACCUUCUAGGGCUGGCUCCCUCAGGGCCUCCUAUAGAGCAGCUCCUUGAGUCGGGCCUUAUAGCCACCAGAAAGUCACCUCGCCGCAGGAAAGCUAUAAAGAGCUGCUCCAGAGGCGCCGAAAGAGGGUAGACUUCGCUUGAAAAGAUCGAGAAUGGAGGAGGGGAUCGGCACUCACUUGCAGACAUCAACAGUUUCCAGAAAAUUCGGUUCAAUUCCUUCACCACGGACCCACCAACCAAGGAGCUGGCAAAACCCACUAACCAACCAGGAGAACACAGACCCGGUUUGUCUUUUGACAACCGAGUGGAACUGACGGGGCCGGCGCCUGCCCUGCGGGUCCCCUCCCUUGGCUGAGAAGAAAACCAAAUAAACCUUGAACAGCCUUGGCU